rnacentral:lncRNA from 1 species
AAAAAAAAAGAAGUCAGGAAUGAACUGCUUCAAGGCUAAGACAUACUUGGCUCACAUCUCUGAUAUCGGCUAACACUGGAAUCAGCAUGGCCCAGAGGAUAAAAACAAUAAACAACACAAACAGAACAAAAUAGAACAAAACACAUAACUGAAAAUAAAGACAACUGAAUUCCAGUCCCAGCUCAGCCACUGUUGUGCUUUGUGGGUCUUGUUCUUGUACAUUUCAAAUCAAGAGGAUGGAACUUGUUCAUCUCAUUGUUGUGAAGAUGAAAAGUUGAGUAACUUGUGGAUCUGGGUGGGACUGUAUUAGGGACUGGUACAGUAAAACAAUUAAAAUGAAAUGAUCCACAGGAGACACUUCCAUCAAUAGUUGUUAUUCCGUGACAUCUUAUCUACUUAAGCAGCUAACCCAUGAGGCAUCCAAAACAGAGAGAAAAAACAGAGUGAACAUUUUGCCUUAUGGAAUUGUCAAAAGUUGCGGUCGAAACACAGGCAAGAUUUGGAAGAAUCUGUAAUGAGCCAGGGCCAGUUUUCCUAGUUAUAGAGCCUAGGCUGGAGGAGGUACAUGGGCUGGGGAAGGAGAGGGAAUUAGAGAUUGGCUGUUCCUGGAAACUCUCUGCCUGUACUCCAUGGCCUGAGUCCCAGGACCUGGAAGCGGCUGAAAAUCUGAGAUAUAGAAGAGACUGGUGCUGCCUUUCUGGGGAGGGCUUGGGAAAACAGCAAGUUCCCUGAAUUUUUCCAUGGCACAGGAGCAGAUGAAAUGUCAUGAUUGGUGUCCAGGCUAGUGGACUGAGUUAACUCCCGAGAGUCCCUGUACUCUCCAGCAUGGCACGAGGAGAAGCAAACCAUUUUCCUAUGCAGCCAUAGGAAAACGGUACAAACACGACACUGAAAUUCAGCUGACCGCAAGAGCUUGAUGGUCAGUGUGAGCCAGAUGGAGCAGGAACAUGUAUGGAUGGAAAACCCAGAUCCAAAGUUCAUCCCCCUCUCCCGUGGAUGCUCCAGCACAUUGCAAGGUUUCCCAGAAACUUAGAGGCAACCUUGGCACAAGGACAUGAUUUGUUGGAAAUUAAGUUUUGUCACCUGGGGGACUGCGAGCUUGAUACGGAAAUUAAUUCAGUUAUAUAAUUAUAAAAAUGAUGCACUUUCUACACAUCUGAUUUUGUGAACCCAAAUUAGUUUCCACAACGCAACUGUGUUAACAUUUGCCAACCUCUGGGGCAACAUUGGUUGUCUUUGUUGCUUUUUUCUAGAAGUUUUCAGCUCAAACUCAUCUUUCCCUUUUUUAUUUUCAUUUCUAAAUUCUGGUGAGUGGUGUUUUGAUAAGUAGAUAUCAGCUAUUUCCUGUCUUACUUGAAAAGUCUUCUCUGUAUUAAAUAACAAAGGUCACUUAGAUAAAUAUCUUCUCAUUACCAGAGGGUAGGGAACUGCUUCUCCUAUACAUAACUUCUAUUAUCUUUCAAUCCAGAAAAAAAAACGUGGCAGGAGGACAAGUUUUUGAAUGUUAUGAAUCGUGAUUUCUGUGUCUAAAAUCUGCUCUUUUGUUAACACUAAGGGCAACUUCCUUCAAAGUGGUUCAUCUUGGUCUAUUACUGUGUUUGUGUGUGUGUGUGUGUGUGUGUGUGUGUGUGUGUGUGU